rnacentral:rRNA from 1 species
GAUGAACGCUGGCGGCGUGCCUAAUACAUGCAAGUCGAGCGAACGGACGAGAAGCUUGCUUCUCUGAUGUUAGCGGCGGACGGGUGAGUAACACGUGGAUAACCUACCUAUAAGACUGGGAUAACUUCGGGAGACCGUAGCUAAUACCGGAUAAUAUUUUGAACCGCAUGGUUCAAAAGUGAAAGACGGUCUUGCUGUCACUUAUAGAUGGAUCCGCGCUGCAUUAGCUAGUUGGUAAGGUAACGGCUUACCAAGGCAACGAUGCAUAGCCGACCUGAGAGGGUGAUCGGCCACACUGGAACUGAGACACGGUCCAGACUCCUACGGGAGGCAGCAGUAGGGAAUCUUCCGCAAUGGGCGAAAGCCUGACGGAGCAACGCCGCGUGAGUGAUGAAGGUCUUCGGAUCGUAAAACUCUGUUAUUAGGGAAGAACAUAUGUGUAAGUAACUGUGCACAUCUUGACGGUUCCUAAUCAGAAAGCCACGGCUAACUACGUG